AUUGAACGCUGGCGGCAGGCCUAACAAAUGCAAGUCGAGCGAGAGGCGGACGGGUGAGUAAUGGCUGGGAAACUGCCUGAUGGAGGGGGAUAACUACUGGAAAAGGUAGCUAAUACCGCAUACCAUCAGAUGUGCCCAGCUGGGAUUAGCUAGUAGGUGGGGUAACGGCCCACCUAGGCGACGAUCCCUAGCUGGUCUGAGAGGAUGAACCGCCACACUGGAACUGAGACACGGUCCAGACUCCUACGGGAGGCAGCAGUGGGUAAUAUUGCACAAUGGGCGCAAGCCUGAUACAGCCAUGCCGCGUGUGUGAAGAAGGCCUUCGGGUUGUAAAGCACUUUCAGCGGGGAGGCGUUACCCGCAGAAGAAGCACCGGCUAACUCCGUGCCAGCAGCCGCGGUAAUUC
rnacentral:rRNA from 1 species